AUGGAAUCAGACCCUCUGCGUCCACCAAUGCGGCGGUUCAGCUCCGGCGUAACUAAAGCUUCAAUCUUUCACUCAUGGGUCUCUCUCAUUUCUCUCAAUGUUUUGCUCUAAACAAGUUCAAUAACACUUUCUAUAUUUGUCGCAGGCGUUUCCGGCGCUACGUUCACCUUUGUCAACAGAUGUGAGUACACAGUUUGGCCCGGGAUUCUAGCAAAUGCCAACAGUCCUAGGCUCGACAGCACAGGAUUUGAGCUCCCAACACAAACUGCCCGAACGUUCCAAGCCCCGACCGGCUGGUCCGGUCGUUUCUGGGGCCGAACCGGCUGCAACUUCGACGGAUCCGGAUCCGGGUCAUGCCAAACCGGCGACUGCGGUUCCGGCACCGUAGAAUGCAACGGCGCCGGUGCCGCCCCGCCGGCUACUUUAGCCGAGUUCACUCUCGGCACCGGCGGGCAGGACUUUUAUGACGUCAGCCUCGUCGACGGGUACAACUUGCCCGUUUUCGUGGAAGGGACUGGCGGGUCGGGUCAGUGCGCUUCCACCGGGUGCUCCACGGAUCUGAACCUGCAGUGCCCGACUGAGCUCAGGAGCGAGGACGGGAGCGCGUGCAGGAGCGCGUGUGAGGCCUUUGGGAGCCCUGAGUACUGCUGUAGCGGUGCGUAUGGCUCACCCUCGACUUGUCGGCCCUCGGUUUACUCCGAGAUGUUUAAGGCUGCUUGUCCCAAGUCGUAUAGCUACGCGUACGACGACGCUACGAGUACGUUUACGUGUACGGGGGCUGAUUAUACGGUGACGUUUUGCCCUUCCUCUCCAAGUCAAAAAUCUUCUAGAGAUUCAACACCAAUGACAGGAGGAGCAACUUCACAAGAGGGGGUUGCUGGGGCGGACCCAGGGUUCACUUAUUCCGGUUCGACUGCCGGAACCGUUCCGGUUACUGGGUCAGUUCCGGUUACCGGGUCAGGAGGCUCUUCUGGUGAGGCAAUGCUAGCAGAUGGGUCAUGGUUAGCUGGUUUAGCCAUGGGAGACUCACCAAGGACAGUGUGUCCCUCAACCCUAAUGACUUUAUCAACUUUAUGUACCAUCUUGUCCUAUCUUUACUUGUAGCCCCCCAACUUUCUCUCUGGUAUUUGCUUCUAACUGUGAAUUCUUCCGAGAGAAAUUUGCAGUGCUUUAGUGAAUUAGUGGUCACUGGAAUUUUGCCUAGCUUUGGUAGAAAAGCUGAACAUUUCCAUCAAGAUUGUACACCACCCCCUUCAAGAUUCCUUCUAGAUAUCAUUGUAAUAUAGUUCAUUGUAGUAUUUUAUGGGAAUAGUUGGUCGCUUUUUCUUUCCCACUCAAGCUUUUUUAGUGUUCUGCUGCUUUUUAGGUUUUGUUUCUCUGUUUG